GGGGAUGUAGUUCAGAUGGUAGAAUGCUCGCUUAGCAUGCGAAAGGCACGGGGAUCGAUACCCCGCAUCUCCA
rnacentral:tRNA from 1 species